rnacentral:lncRNA from 1 species
CUCCUUCAGAUAAAGGAUAUUCCUAUCAUCAUCUUUCAGGUUGGUAAUUUGAGUUUUCCCUCUUUUGGACUUCAGGGAGGCAUGAAAGUAGGCAUUGUUGAAAGCAUAUAUAGAAGUUAGAGAAGUUUUUAAAACUCCAUUUAAAUGGUAUAUACUACAGUGGAUAAAUUGAGGAGAGCUCUCAUGGGUGGUCACCUUGACUUUGGUUUCAUCACAUAAAAUUCAAAUCCUACCAUUACUAUGAUCAGUAUAAUUGUCAAU